UUUUUGCUAUAACUAACACUUCGUCCAUUUUUCUAUAUGGGCAAUUCGUUGCACUGUAAUCAAUCCUCGGCCUUGUAAAUUCUGUCCUUGUCACUUCCGGUAGUGCUCUUCGAUUGUCGAGCGUCACGGAAUAUCGAUCGAUCGAUCAACGUACUGUUCGAUGUUCGAGAUAGAACUAAAUUCGAAUUCGAAAUUCAUCUACUAGAGAAUACUUUCUUUUCUAGUUUCUUUAGUCGUCAACUUUUUGAAAAAAUCGGAAAAUUGGUUAUAGUACUGCGAUCAAACUCGAAAUAAAAUUUGAUCGUAACUUUGCGAAAUCGAAUCGUGGUUCACGGUUUCGGAAGAUAGCCAAAAUGAAAAACAAAAUCAGGCAUCCAACAGUACGAAUUAACGAAUUAACAUCGAUUGACGUUAUGAAAAAUAUUGAAAAGAGAUCGUUAAUCAAGCUGGACGUAUUGAUAUCGUUGGGAUUGUAGAUUAGGAUCAGGUUUCCGUGGCGCUCGUGGCUCGACGAGCCGAUCUAUUGCGAACUCUCGUAAAAUUCGACGCGAGCCAGAAAAAAGUAAACGCGACGAACACGAAUGAUCCUCGCCAACGUUCUUGUUCUUGUCAUUUUCAAUUUCGAGCGAUCGUCGACGACCAUCGUAGAGGAUCGUACGAGACCUCAGCUUCGAUUGAAAUUCACAUCAUAAUCGCUUACUUUUAACUAUCCUGAUCCUGAAAUAUUUCCUCGUAAGCUGAUCCAUCCAACGAUUCUGUAAAUAUCUACUUCCAUAGAGACUUUGAAUAAUUUCGAUAAAGGAUAUCUUGGAAAUUGCUGAAGGUUUCAGGGUCAGUAGAAAAUUCAUGAUUAUGUACGUAUAAUUACCUUUCUAAGUGGCACGAGUUUGAAAUCCCUCUCUUACCACUUAGAAGGAUACUGCUUUUAGGAUUUCACUUUAUUAUCUGUCCCUCCGCUAACUCACUUUUAAACUUUCUGAUGGACUAGAGUAAAAAUGCGAUGGAAGACAGUUAGAAUAAGUGUAUUACUUAUUUUAGGAAAUUUGGUGAGCAAGUAGCGAGGAUGAUGACUCGUUACUAAAACAGGUAUAGAGUUUUAAAAAAGAGGAGAAAUCGAGUCGAAGAAAGUAUCGAUGCUGAGUUUCUUUUAGAAGCGUGGAACCAUUUAUGCAAGAACAUGUCGACGACGACCGCUCAGAAAUAGUAAUAAUAAAAAAAAAUCGUAUCAUCGAGAGAUCAAAUUGUAGCAUCGAAUGAAGCCUGGCUAGAAUACUCAAAGGAAAGCUGCUUUCGAACUUAUAAUAAAAAAAGUUUAAAAUUUAAA